AGUGAACGCUGGCGGUAGGCCUAACACAUGCAAGUCGAACGGCAGCACAGUAAGAGCUUGCUCUUACGGGUGGCGAGUGGCGGACGGGUGAGGAAUACAUCGGAAUCUACUUUUUCGUGGGGGAUAACGUAGGGAAACUUACGCUAAUACCGCAUACGACCUACGGGUGAAAGCAGGGGAUCUUCGGACCUUGCGCGAUUGAAUGAGCCGAUGUCGGAUUAGCUAGUUGGCGGGGUAAAGGCCCACCAAGGCGACGAUCCGUAGCUGGUCUGAGAGGAUGAUCAGCCACACUGGAACUGAGACACGGUCCAGACUCCUACGGGAGGCAGAAGUGGGGAAUAUUGGACAAGGGGCGCAAGCCUGAUCAAGCCAUACCGCGUGGGUGAAGAAGGCCUUCGGGUUGGAAAGCCCUUUUGUUGGGAAAGAAAAGCAGCAGGUUAAUACCCCGCUGUUCUGACGGUACCCAAAGAAUAAGCACCGGCUAACUUCG
rnacentral:rRNA from 1 species